GCUGGGUAUGGUGGUGUGUGCCUGUAGUCCCAGCUACUCUGGAGGUUAAGACAGGAGGAUUACAUGUUGGAGUCCAGCCUGGCAACACAGAGAGACCCUGUCUCAA
rnacentral:sRNA from 1 species